rnacentral:rRNA from 1 species
AUAUCACUAAGCGGAGGAAAAGAAACUAACCAGGAUUUCCUUAGUAACGGCGAGUGAACAGGAAUCAGCCCAGCACCGAAGUCUGUGGUCAUUUGAUUGCUAGACAAUGUGGUGUUUAGAUUGGUUUUUGGCAUUUUUGCUUCAUUCCAAGUCCAUCAAUGAAUGUGGCUUAUGGACUGGCCCAAAGAGGGUGAAAGGCCCGUGGGGAUGAAGAUCAAGUGUGUCAAAUUUGCUUCAAACCUUUUUUGGAGUCGGGUUGUUUGUGAUUGCAGCCCAAAGUUGGUGGUAAACUCCAUCUAAGGCUAAAUACUGGCACGAAUCCGAUAGCAAACAAGUACCAUGAGGGAAAGUUGAAAAGUACUUUGAAGAGAGAGUAAACAGUGCGUGAAACCGCUCAGAGGUAAACAAGUGGAGUUGAACUGGAAUCCUUGACAAUUUAGCUGAUAAGUAUGACUUGUGUAUGCUUGGACAUGAUGGCUAAUUUGCAAAGUUUGCUUAAUAACAAGCUUGGAUUUUUGAAAUCCAGGUGCAUGCGUUGUGCACUUUGCUUAAUUUAGGUCAACUUGUCAGUGCAUUUUGUCAAGGUGAUCACCACGACCGACGUAGUUGCCUGCUUGCCGUGGUUAAACCGAUCAAAUUUAGUUAUUAUAGCUGGAUUUGGUCGGGAUGGCAGGUAGCUUGUUUGCUUGUUUUCAAGUUUGACGAGUAUUAAUAAGCUGAUUGCAACAAGCUUGUGCAAUAUGUCGGAGAUGACGGUCGGAUGUGUUUUGCUCUACAAAUUUAAAUAAACCAGGUUGGCGUGAACUGGACUUAGGUUAAGUCCGUCAAUGACUUGUUUAAAUUUGUAGAGCAAAUGCACAUAACGAAUUGUGGUUUGGGCCUAUAGUCUGUGGUGUAGUGGUAGACUAUCCACCUGACCCGUCUUGAAACACGGACCAAGGAGUUUAACAUGUACGCAAGUCAUUGGGUGUUACGAAACCCAUGGGCGUAAUGAAAGUAAGGGUUCAGUUUGAAAAAAUUGAGCUAAGGUGAGAUCUUGCUGUUUCCAAUGAUCUAAGCACCAAGCAUUGGUGUAGCGAGCGCAUCACCAGCCCGCUUCAUGAUGUAUAUUAGUUUUUUAGACUGAUAUGUCAUCGGAGCGGAGCCAGAGCGUGUAUGUUGAGACCCGAAAGAUGGUGAACUAUGCUUGCGUAGGUUGAAGCCAGAGGAAACUCUGGUGGAGGACCGUAGCGAUUCUGACGUGCAAAUCGAUCGUCAAACGUGAGUAUAGGGGGCGAAAGACUAAUCGAACCAUCUAGUAGCUGGUUCCCUCCGAAUUUC